rnacentral:misc_RNA from 1 species
GAUGAAGAACGCAGCGAAAUGCGAUAAGUAAUGCGAAUUGCAGAAUUCAGUGAAUCAUCGAAUCUUUGAACGCACAUUGCGCCCGCCAGUACUCUGGCGGGCAUGCCUGUCUGAGCGUCAUUUCAACCCUCGCGCCCGGCUUCUGUCGGGGGCGGUGUUGGGGAUCGGCCUCCCGUCUUCCGGGCGGCCGGCCCCUAAAUGGAGUGGCGACCGCGCCGUAGCCUCCUCUGCGUAGUAGUGAAACACUCGCGGGCGGAGAGCGGUGCGGCCCGCCGUAAAACCCCCAACUCUUCUAAGGUUGACCUCAGAUCAGGUAGGAAUACCCGCUGAACUUAAGCAUAUCAAUAGCGGAGGA